AGGUAUGUUUUACUAAUGCUAAUAUUAGGCCUAGAAUUAUUGAUCCGUGGUGGAAUUGGAUCACAAAUUCUGGAAUUGUUGGCAUCGGGAUCUGCUAAAGGAAAUGCAAUUGACGAACAUUUAUUCAACGGAAUUGGAUAGGAGGUGGAUCUUCAGCAUAACUGGAUUCUAACAUGCAGAACAAUUUAACUGAAAAAAUUGUCGUGGUUUGAGAUUUGUCUUGAAAUUCAUUCAUUGGAAGCUGAAAGCUGAUUAGGAAAUGAAUGUAGGAUGUCCGCUACGUCUGAGUCAAACAUGUUAUGCCAUGAAUACGAGCAUAAGCGAAUAAGGUGAAAGCGAAUAUCACGAAUCAAGAGUUUGUUGAAGUUCUGUCCGAAUUACGGAACAAGCUGGUUGAAGCGACAACGAAUCUCACAAAUCAUCUGUCUGUCUGUAGGUGUUUUUAUUAUCGUGCGUAUAAGGCAAUGGAAUCCGCUAUUAUACUGACGAUGUCUUCUACGAUGUGAUCGUUUCUUUUGAUCAGCUCUUGUGUAUCUGUAUAAUUACUGCAAAUUUGCCAUUGUUGGGCGAAGUACUAAAACCAAUUUAUCAUCAUCAGCCGAUUCAAUAUAUAUUAUACUUGCACAGACGGAAAUAUAGUUACUGUUGCCAUAUGCAGCUCCGAAUACACAAGCUAGCAGAUGAAUUUUAUAACUACUCGAGUCGCCUGGUCUGGAGUCUGAAAUCGUUAUUUCUGAUGUUAUUGGACACGAAAUAGACAAAUGUAUCGUCUUGUUAUUAGGUUGUUGCUGUUGGUGUGAAAAUAUCGCCUAUUUCUACUAACUACUGGACCAAUUGCCUGGAAAUUUUCAGUGUUUAAAUUAAAUUAAUUUAAAAAACUGGAAGGCAAUUACUAUAUUCAUUUCACAUUUUUGUACUGUGUGUGAUUCAUUUGUGAAAUGCCGUUGAAGUCAUCAAAAUUAGACGCCUUCACGUCCCCAAAAUUGAAGUUGCGCACAUUGUGGGGGGUUUCGCUUGAGCGUUAACAAUCUAGUGCAUGGUCAAACAGUACCGGUAGUCUACUGUGAUAGAUUGCAUGCCCUUACUUCUUUGAGCUGGCUUUCGUGUCCCUAUAUUUGAGCAUGUUGUAUGAGGUAAACUAGUUUUAUAUGUAUUUUUAACUUUGGAAUAAUCAAUCUACU